rnacentral:rRNA from 1 species
AACGACUCUUGGCAACAAAUAUCUUAACUUUCGCAUUAAUGAAGAAUGUAGCGAAAUGCAAUACUUGGUGUGAAUUGUAGAAUCCCAUGAACAAUUGAGUCUUUGAACGUAAGUUAAGCUUGAAGCCAUUAGGCUGAGGGCAUGUCUGGCUGGGUGUCACACAAUG